CUGGUAUCUGCAUACAUACAACUAUUGCAAAUAUGGCUUUGUUUGAACUCUUCUAGUAUAUAUAUUAGCUAAAAUGUGUCAGAUAUAUGGUUACAGAUGAUACUGUUGUGACAAUAAUUCUAAAUUGACCAUUUGAGGCAAAAAAUGUGAACUUUAAUUGACAAAUAGGCAUACAGUAAGAUGUGGACUGGAGACAGAGGCAGGAUUGGAUAUCUUAUAUAAUCUUGAAUGUUGUAAUGAUUGACUGCAAAACAUUACAUUUUAAUGAUUGACUGCUAAACAUUACAUUUAUAGUAUUCUGAUAUGCGUUCAAUAUGUUAUCAAAACAGUUUUAAACAGGUUCUAGGCAUUUUAAAUCAGAAAAUAUGCAAAUACGUUAA
rnacentral:lncRNA from 1 species